GACGAACGCUGGCGGCGUGCUUAACACAUGCAAGUCGAACGGUAAGGCCCUUCGGGGUACACGAGUGGCGAACGGGUGAGUAACACGUGGGUGAUCCGCCCUGCACUUCGGGAUAAGCCUGGGAAACUGGGUCUAAUACCGGAUAGGACCACUGCCUGCAUGGGUGGUGGUGGAAAGCUUUUGCGGUGUGGGAUGGGCCCGCGGCCUAUCAGCUUGUUGGUGGGGUGAUGGCCUACCAAGGCGACGACGGGUAGCCGGCCUGAGAGGGUGACCGGCCACACUGGGACUGAGAUACGGCCCAGACUCCUACGGGAGGCAGCAGUGGGGAAUAUUGCACAAUGGGCGCAAGCCUGAUGCAGCGACGCCGCGUGAGGGAUGACGGCCUUCGGGUUGUAAACCUCUUUCAGCACCGACGAAGCGCAAGUGACGGUAGGUGCAGAAGAAGGAUCGGCCAACUACGUGCCAGCAGCCGCAGUAA
rnacentral:rRNA from 1 species